AAAAAAUUCCAAUGUACAGGGGUAAAGAAGAGGCAGAGCAAAAACGACAACUCAAAACCAGAACCAAAAACCGCAAAUUCAGAAAUCACCCAAGAACUAUCCUCAAAUUUCUAUUCCAUUCAUGUAUCAAUCUCAAAGCCGUGUGAUCGUUUACUGAAAACCACCCCUACUUAUCCAAGUACGCCGGUAAGUCCUCAAUUUUCCGUUUGGUUUGGUUGCCAGGUUCCGUUUCUACGUAAAGAAUCAACUUUGCUUGGAAUCUAGGGUUUCAUUGCUAGAGAAAUGAAACCCUAGGGUUGGAUGACAUGUGGGCUUUAAUUAUUUUGAAGAUUGGUGCUGUUUGUUCAUUCUUCCUUGAGAUUUAUAGAGUCGAAUAUCAGAAAUGAACCUGUUUGAUAGCUUGUAUAGUGUUAAAAACCCCAAAUUCAGAGGGGUUUUCAAUGGUCUAUGUAGUAUUAUCCUAUUAUUUUUAUUUUACCACCGGGUAGAUGUCCUUAAAAACCCAUAUAGUGGUCCAUUUCCAACUACGGGAGCUGUUUUUGGUAGUGGGUCGAGCCAUGUUGAUAUAAUUCAUAGGCAAAUGAUUGAAGUCGAUACCAAUUUAACAUCCCUAAUUGAUUGGACUGAUGAUCAAAAUAAUAUGAGUGUACAGAAUCCAGUUUUAUGUGGUGGGUUGAUUGAUCAUAAGGGCUAUGCUAAUGAAUGUGAAUACUUGAAAGCGAACCCAGAUUGUUCAUCCGGUGGGUUCUUUGAUUAUAUCAAGUUUCUUUAUUGUGAUUGUGGUGAUUUUAAAGUGUUAGGUUAUGUACUUUUGGGUAUUUGGCUUGCUGCUUUGUUUUAUUUGUUGGGGAACACUGCAGCAGACUACUUUUGUUGUUCAUUGGAGAAGUUAUCUAGUCUUUUGAAGUUGCCUCCUACAGUGGCGGGUGUUGCCCUCCUUCCACUUGGGAAUGGAGCACCAGAUGUGUUUGCAAGUAUUGCUGCCUUUGUGGGUAAGGAUGCAGGAGAUGUGGGUCUUAAUAGUGUGUUGGGCGGUGCCGUGUUUGUUACUUGUAUUGUUGUUGGGACUGUUUCAUUAUGUGUAGCAGAGCAGGAAGUUAGGAUUGAUCGUAGAUGCUUCAUUAGGGAUAUCUGCUUCUUCCUGUUUACACUAUUGUCUUUGUUGAUGAUGUUGAUGAUUGGCAAGGUAAGCGUUGGAGCAGCAAUUGCUUUUGUAUUGAUCUAUGUAGUUUAUGGUAUUUCUGUUGCUGCUGGUGAGAUUUUCAGGAAACAUGCUCGGAUGUUGAAACUGGAUGUUAUUACACCAUUGAUUCCUGUGCAAGGAAGUAUAUUGUCUCAAGGAACUUAUGAAGAUGAUUCAAGUAUGUAUAGUUCUUUGCUAGACAUUGAGACUGACAGCACUGUACCCCAUCUACCACCUUCCCUACCAUCAUGGAUGUGGGCCUCUAAUGUGGCAAUAUAUUCCAAUCACUCACCAAAGGGCAAUAUGCUGGAUGAAGAAAGACCUCCAUGGGGCUGGACUGAUGAGGGAACGGAGAUCAAAAACUCCUCAUUUUCAUGUUCUAAGUUAUUUUCGCUGAUUGAGAUGCCAUUGACAGUGCCUAGACGGUUAACAAUACCAUUGGUUGAUGAAGGAACAUGGUCAAAACCCUAUGCUGUAGCCAGUGUUACAUUGGCUCCUAUUCUUCUGGCAUUUCUGUGGAAUGCCCAAGAUGACGUGGGUCCUCAAAGUAGAAUUCUAAUGUAUAUUUUUGGAGUUGUGGUUGGUUGCUUACUUGGUUUUCUUGCAUACCAAUGCACCUUGCCCAACCAUCCACCUCAAAGAUUGUUGCUUGUGUGGGUUUUAGGAGGAUUUUUUAUGAGUAUUGUGUGGUUCUACAUGAUAGCUAAUGAGCUUGUUGCUUUAUUGGUGGCAUUUGGCUUGAUCUUUGGGAUUAAUCCAUCAAUUCUUGGGUUGACUGUAUUAGCGUGGGGCAACUCAAUGGGCGAUUUAGUGUCUAACAUUGCCCUGGCAAUGAAUGGUGGUGACAGUGUGCAGAUUGCUGUGUCUGGAUGCUAUGCAGGUCCCAUGUUCAAUACCCUUUUUGGCUUGGGGAUCUCAAUGCUGCUAGGAGCCUGGUCACAGAGUACUGGCAUUUAUGUGAUUCCUCAAGACAGCAGCUUGUUUUACACUAUUGGUUUUCUCAUGUCAGGGCUAAUCUGGGCACUUGUAGUUUUACCUAAACAUGACAUGCGUCCCACUAAGACAUUAGGGGUGGGACUUAUAACUUUAUAUCUGAUUUUUCUUUUAAUAAGGGUGAAUAUUUCCAUGGGAUAUAUGGCAAGUUGACUACUUGAUUUUUGGUAUUAUUGGAUGGAUCUGUGAAGCUAGUCUCUGCAAACUGUUGUUCUCCUCAUCACGAUUUCAUUUGUGAAAUGGUAGUCUGAUGAAUGUUUUACAUCAUUUAUAUUUGUCGGAAUAUUUUUAGUACUUGCUGGUAGAAUUUGAGCAGUCUCUAUCAUACACUUAAAAUGAAGUAAUGAAAAUAUGAUCAUACUAGGUCACUCCUAUCAUCAGUUGUUUAUAUAAAUUAGUUUGAGUUCUUUCAAUGUUAUGCUAUAAUUCUUACUAGAAAGUUAUAUAUGAUUGUUGACUUUGUGAUGAUAGAAUUUUGCAACUUUGGUUUCCUUUUUUCAAUAUCUUUUCCUACAUGGGCUUGUGGACUGAUAAACAGGUUCACAACAAGGCAUCAGUGUUUUAUGCUUGGUGCUUUUUUUUAAGAUGGGGCUGCUAGAAACGAUAAUUUAGUUAACCUGGGUUCUGGAAUGAUGUUGGCUGCUAGUAAUCCUUGCUUGUCCAACAUUACAUGGAUUUUCAGGGCACUCAUUCCUAGUACCGGGUAGAUGUUCAAUAUUUAAGGGAAUUUUCUUUUUUCUAAUUGAAGCUGGUGAAUUUUUGUUAGAAAACCACAUAAACUAUGUUGCAGUUAGUGGCUUCGAAGAUACAACACUUACUGGAAGAAACAAGCAUACAAAUUUCAAAGUGAAACUUUCCGGGUUCUUACUCAUUGCACUUCUGCUGAUGGUUUAAUGAAACAUCAUAAAGUUCAGAGAAUUUUUUAGGAAGUGGAUUCUUGAGAGUUUUUCUGUAUUGUAGCUUACAAAUAAAUCAAAAAAAAUUAUAUAGUAAUAUUUCAGCUGUUUGAAUUUGAGAAUGUUAAGAUGUAUAUAUAGUUUCAAACUUCAAAUAUGACAUGAAUCUGUGGGGAAAACUUUUUUUUUGAAUAGGAUGGUUUCAC
rnacentral:misc_RNA from 1 species